CAGCAGCGCUGCCUGUCCUGCUGAGAGAGGACCGGGGCUGCUUACCGCAACCUUAGAAUGGAAUUUCACUUAAAAUGAGGAGGAAGGGCUUCACUUGUUUAUGGACAACAAAUAAUGUGGUAACAAUGAAAUUCAUCUUGCCCAGGGCACAUCCAAGUUUGAAUCACUCCUCUCAGAUUUGAAGCAGUGUCUGACAUGAGGAUUCACCACGACAGGUUUUAAAAGAAGCAUUUACAACGUUAACCAGUGCACUGUCUCACAGACCGUGCAGCCAACAGAUUGAAACAAUACUACUACAAGGUUAUGUGGAAUAACAACAAUAUUUAUUCUGUAUUUUUGUCUUCCUGGGAUGGAUUGACCACUGAUUCAGAAGCAAAGAACUACUGUGAUAUGGCCCUUGCUUCUCACUCAAUUGGAGAUGCGUCUGGAAAGAAGUGCUUCAUUUCUUACUGCAUCUGGACAAAGACAGACCUCCUGGAGGUGCUCCCAGCUCCCUGAAGAUACUAGGACAUUUUGGGUUAAACUCAUGCUCUAUUCAGGCUUGGGUUCACCUGCUUUCCCACUCAUAUUUACCCACCACAUUUCUUUUGACUGCAUUUCUCUGUGGUCACUAAAUCCCUCUCUAUUAUUGUACAAUUCUGAGAACUGCAGCAAACAGGAAGGUUUUUAGUAAUCUUGCCAGUUCACACUAUUUGCUGCUGGAAAGCCUUUGAGCUGAUAAAGUUUGGAAGGCAUGCAAUUCUCCAUGAGCUAAUGCCCAUUGCUUUUAUCUCAAAUGAUUUUAAUGGCCAUCCAAAUAAUGCAAACUGGAUUGACAUUACUCCAGUCCAAUGAAUUGGAUCUCAUUGAAAAGAUUUUGCUACCAACAUUUCUUGCAGUGCAGCAAAACUAAAAGCUGCAGUUAGGAAUAGAAGUAAUGUUUUACAAGACACUACACAAACCCAGAACAGAGAGAUGAUCCUUGCCUGAAAAAUAUAUAGCAUAAAGGUGUCACUUGGCUUUAUGCUUUCCCUGGAUGUUGCUGUUGGCAUGUGUUUGUACAUCAGCUUUGUUACAUGAAAAAUAGUUGCACAUAAUUACAUCCUAAGGUAACAACAUGGAGAUAUGACUGAUGGAUGGGGAGCCCAAGGACAUAAUCAUACGACAGUGAUCCAUCUGACAGGGAGGGUAUCAGUUCCCUUGCUCCUAGCUGUUGUCAUACUGAUAGACAUCCUGGUGACAGUGAACUUUAUAGAAAGGAGAUGACAAAAUAUAGUGAGCAUUUCCAGAGGUGUUCAAAACAUGUAGUCUCCAAGUAUGAAGGACUGUUUAGAUGAUAAUAUACACAGGGUAAAAAACUUGGUGUUGGGAUGGUUAUUUGCAUCUCUGCCAGCGCAGAAGGGCCUAAGUAUCUGCAAGGGUAAAGGAGGGAGAAUAAGGGUAAUGUGCUUGAAAGAAGUGCAAAGCAUUGAAAAUUAAAUCCUUCAUCUCUAUUGUGAUAAAAAACUUAACGGAGGGAUGCAAAGGGGAGGUUGGUACUUUGCAGAGAAAUGGUAUGGAUUUGCAAUUGUCAAGUGCUUUAGAAAGGAUGCUGUUGUACCUUAAGACAUGAGCUGAUGAGAACAUGAACUUUGAACUGUUAAUUAAUAGCAGCUGUCACACUUUCAGAAGUUUACCUUUUAGGAAAGUUUGGGCUGCCUCGAGAAUUUUUUUCCAGCUUCCCUAAAAGAAGUAUUCAUUUCUCAGUAUCAAAUUUGUGUGUCUGAAAUAAGCAAAUACACUCUCCUAUGAAACACCACUAUUUCUCCCUUUUCACACAGAUUUGUUUCUUGUUGAAGAAGAAACUGUGUGAAACAUGAGAAAAAACAGAGGUAUGAAGAGAAAAUAGCCUAAUAUGACUCAGUUUUUCUGUGUAAUUUGUGAUCAGAAUUAAAAUCAGCAGCUGUGUUGUGUUGCUAAGAGAAUAUCUUAGAACACUAAA